rnacentral:rRNA from 1 species
UACGUAGGGUGCAAGCGUUGUCCGGAAUUAUUGGGCGUAAAGGGCUCGUAGGCGGUCCAUCACGUCGGGAGUGAAAAGCUGGGGCUUAACCCCAGUCCUGCUUCCGAUACGGGUGGACUAGAGGUAGGCAGGGGAGAAUGGAAUUCCUGGUGUAGCGGUGAAAUGCGCAGAUAUCAGGAGGAACACCGGUGGCGAAGGCGGUUCUCUGGGCCUUACCUGACGCUGAGGAGCGAAAGCAUGGGGAGCAAACAGG